AGUUUUAUUUUGGAAACCCCAACACUUGAUUUUGCUAAGAUCCCAAUUUCUUUCAUUGUAUGGUUUUGUUCUUGCUUCCACUGUCUGGGUUUCUUCUUGCGUAUUGGGUUCGUAUCGUACUUAUUCCGAUUUCGUUUCAAUUACUCUGUUUUAUUCUCAGUGAACGGUUAUCUUCACCCAUCUUUAAAGAGCUCAAAGUUUAAGCUUUUUAUGUUUCUGCAAUGUCUUUACAGAAAAUAGUUUCUUUGUCUUCCCAAAUUGAUAUGCUGAUGAAUCAUUAGUAAUGAGUACCUUAUUUGUCUCAGAUAUUUUAAGGAAGCCAAACAUUAACCCUGUUGUCUGUUUAUUUGACCCUGGAGAAAAGACUUCUGUGGAGGGUCCUGUCACACCUUUUAUUCUCCAUAAUUCUUUUUCUCUGCUUAUGUAUUUCCAGCUAAUAAGUAUAAGUGUUCUUGCUUUGAAACUUGGACUUUAUUAUAUGUACUGAUGCUUUUUGAUCAGCUUAAUGAGCAGCGUCAAACUGAUUCCUGAGCAGCGUCGAACUGGUGGAAGGGUGAUAUGGAGAGCAGGAAGCGUGAUGGUGGUUUAUCAUGGAUGUAUCUUCAGCUGGCAUUAAAGCAACAAAAUGCCAAGUAGUCUAAACGCACCUCCGGAAAUCAAAGAUCCGAUUGUCAAGAACCCGAUUCGCAAGGAGAGUAUGACAGAAGAAGAAUCUGAGUUUAACAGUCUAUUAAACAGCUUAGGCUCACGUUUUCACGAGUGGUGGGGUACUGGUGUGAUUCCGGUGAGCGCUGACUUACUACCUCAUACGAUUCCCGGUUAAAAAACACAUUUCAGGCUUCUUCCUAUAAAACUCUCCCUUGCCAUUUUGCUCUUGGUAGGAACAGGAAUCACUAAGAAUUGGCAACGCUAUACUUAAGCCCUGGGAGAAAAGUUUGAUUGCAAAGAUUGCCGUGAAGCGAGGUAUCCAGAAUUCAAAUAACAAACUGAUGGCGGAUGAGAUAUUAGUGUUUGUACAUAAUUCUCUUUCUCUGCUUAUGUAUUUCCAGCUUAGAAAUAAAAGGGAAAACAGAAUUUAAUAUAAAAAAUAAGUCAAUGUUU